rnacentral:rRNA from 1 species
GAUGAACGCUGGCGGCGUGCUUAACACAUGCAAGUUGAACGAAGUGGCGGAUGGGCGAGUAACACGUGAGGAACCUGCCUUUCACAGGGGAAUAACACUGGGAAACCAGUGCUAAUACCGCAUAGUGAGAGAUGGCCUCGCGCCUGAUUAGCUAGUAGGUGAGGUAACGGCUCACCUAGGUGAUGAUCAGUAGCCGGACUGAAGGUUGAUCGGCCGCAUUGGGACUGAGACACGGCCCAGACUCCUACGGGAGGCAGCAGUGGGGAAUAUUGGGCAAUGGCGCAAGCCUGACCCAGCAACGCCGCGUGAAGGAAGACGGUCUUCGGAUUGUAAACUCCUUCACCAUCGACGCGGUAGAUGGAGAAGAAGCACCGGCUAACUACGUGCCAGCAGCCGCGGUAAUAC